AAAAUGAAUCAAAACUUUCAACAACGGAUCUCUUGGUUCUGGCAUCGAUGAAGAACGCAGCGAAAUGCGAUAAGUAAUGUGAAUUGCAGAAUUCAGUGAAUCAUCGAAUCUUUGAACGCACAUUGCGCCCGCCAGUAUUCUGGCGGGCAUGCCUGUGCGAGCGUCAUUUCAACCCUC
rnacentral:rRNA from 1 species